rnacentral:rRNA from 1 species
GAUGAACGCUAGCGGGAGGCUUAACACAUGCAAGUCGAGGGGCAUCACGAGGUAGCAAUACUUUGGUGGCGACCGGCGCACGGGUGAGUAACGCGUAUGCAACCUACCCUGUACAGGGGGAUAGCCCGGAGAAAUUCGGAUUAAUACCCCAUAAAGAUAUGAAGAGGCAUCUUUUUAUAUUUAAAGUUUCGACGGUACGGGAUGGGCAUGCGUAACAUUAGCUAGUUGGUAGGGUAACGGCCUACCAAGGCAACGAUGUUUAGGGGUCCUGAGAGGGUGAUCCCCCACACUGGUACUGAGACACGGACCAGACUCCUACGGGAGGCAG